UUUUUUUUUUUUUUUUUUGGCUUUUUACGGACGCACCUGCAGCAUAUGGAAGUUCCCAGAUUAGGAAUCAAAUUGGAGCUGCACCUACUGGACUAUGCCACAGCCACAGCAGCACCAGAUCUGAGCCACAUCUGCAACCUAUGCCAUAGCUUGCAGCAACGUGAGAUCCUUAACCCACUGAGCUAGGCCAGGGAUCCAACCCACAUCCUCAUGGAUACUAUUUGGGUUCUUAACCUACUGAGCCACAACUAGAACCAGUAACUCUCCUUUUUAAAGUCAGCUAUUAUUUACUUGGAUUUUUGUUCCGUAAUCAAAGAAGCCUGAAUAAUACAGAAAUUGGCACUUGCAAAUGGGGACUUGUAGGUAAUAAGUUUAUAAACCCAAAACUGUAGAACUGGCUGAGACAAGCAGUCAUGAGCAUGGAGAGAGGCUGGCCUUCCAGGCCCCAUGCUGGUAAGCAGCCUGGAAAAUCUUUGCCAGCUGUCAGGAGAGGUCUAGUUCAAAAGAAGUUAGGUUGUCAGAAUGGGUUAGCCAUGCAUCCCCUAAAAGGAUAGUUCCAUCGAAGCUGGGCUGUUGGAAAGCAGAAGGGAAUAGCAGGAAGUAAAAGAGAGGUCCUUUUCCUUGCAGCAAGAUUCCAAGCUGCUGGGAGUUUGACGAUGUUUUCCCUUAAAGAACUGCAACAGCAGAAAUCUGUGGCUGGGAAGGGGGACAUACUAGGGGAGCCAGGAUUGAUUGCAUCCUGAAGGUGCAUUGACUGGAAUGCAGCCCAGGGCCUGUGGGGACCUUCCUCAUGGCCAGGCUUCAAGCCAGCUCAGGCCAAGAGGCUGAGUCCCCAGAAAGCACACCUUCCUCUAGGCCUGUAGUGAAGAAGAGAGAUCUCUCCACUUACGGGGUCUGGUCGGCCACUGCUCCGUGGAAUUCUCCCAAGUUCCCUAAGAGCUAAGACCAACAGCAGGAUGGAAGGAAUUUGCCCUUCUGCCAGAGAAAUGAGUUUUUCCUGUUCCUGUGCAGAGGGAUGGGAUGUAGAUACUCGGCUAAUAACAACUCAUUGGAAUUAUUUCCUCUUCCCACUUUUAAAUAGAAUUUCUCUAAUAUAUGUGUGUGUGGGGGGAGUUCAAUGUACCAUUUAAUCACACGUAGCAAGAACAUGAGUGUGGCUGGGUGGUUUCUCAACUAAAACCUGAUCAAUUGCUUUUUCAAUUACUUAACACAUAUUUCCCGAGCACCUACUAGUGGCAGAUACUCUUCUGGACCCUGGGGAUAUGACAAAGAAGAAAACAAACAACCAAAACUGAAUCCAUGCAACUGGCCAGGCUCCAAUCCCAGGAAUCAUUCUCCUACAACUGAGCCCGUUCAGCAAGACUUCUAAUUUCAUCACAAAUCUGCCCACCUCUCACCAUCUCCAUUGCUUCAGGUCCAUCAUCACCAAUUGGCUAAACUGUAGCAACAGUUUACUAAUAGGUCCUUUUGCCUCCAGCGUUGCCCCUGCAGUCCGUUCAGCACAUGUAGGUCACAGUGAUCUUUCCAAAACAAAAUUCAGUUCACAUACUUUUACACCUAACAUAUCUGUUUGAUAGCAGAAAUCUAGAUAUUUGUAUCGAGCUCAGUAAUAAAAUGAAUGCUAGCCUCAGGAGGCAUAUGUCUGUGAGACUCUUUUUGUGUAUUUAAAGAGUCAAUGCAGGUUUUGUAUUUUCUGAUAGUGAGACAUGUCAUGAUAUUUCAAAAACACAAAAAUAAAACCAGUUCAUGUCCCUCUCCCCCUGAGAAUCCUCCAGUAGCUUCUGAGAGCAAUCCAAACAUAAAAUCCAAAAUCUUUACUUUGGUCUAUGAGAACCUAGGUGAUCCACAACUGCCUACCUAGCCUCCCUUAUCUUGCUCUGUCUUUUCCUCCAUUUAUUCUCCCUCCAGCUCCUUCCAGCUUCUUUCUGUCUCGUAGAUGUGCCAAGUGAGUUUGCAUCUCAAGGGCUUUACAAAAUCUGCAGUUCCUCCUUCUGGGGUCACUCUUCCCCCAGAUCUUUGCAAGCCUGCCUCCCUUCUAUUGUUCAAAGGUAACAGGAUGUUCAAUGGGCUUUUCCUGUCAUCUGUCUGGGGAAUUCCAGCUAAAGCCCAGGACAAGAGCACAUCCCUUUCUCAAGAGAGCCACCACCCACCAUGACACCAGAUCCCUUUCCCACGGCUUCACUGAAAGAUGUCAGACAGUCCCUACACCCCCCCUUCCUCCUUCCUAAUUUCCAUGAGAUGAUUGGGAAAGAGAGAAAGAGGGGAGGGCAGUGUUUGGGGUGAGAGCUGACCUUCCCCUUAAGCCAAAUAUUGGAGAGGCUCCAAAGAGUCAGCCAUCGAGAGAGGGUCCCUGAGAGAAAAGGAAAUUGACAUGCUGUACCCAAGUUGAUUAUCAUUUUCUAAUUUGCCCUUGACUUCACUGAGUAAGGUAGAGGAAGACUGGCAUUGUUUCAAGAUGGGAAUUGGGGUAACCUGUCUCUGCUGUUGCCCUGGCAAGAAUUUCCAGUUGGGCUAAGUGGGUGUUAGAGAAGGUAGUUGGUUCUACCUUCUGUAGAAAGGUCCUCCAGAGGAUUCACCAGCCCCAGCUUUGGAUACUGCUACAGAGAGGGUGUCAGGAGCCACUGUCACCAGAGAAGUGGGAACAGCCAACCUGGAAAGGACAACAGCUGUGGCCGGGUGAGUAAAGAUACUCUUGUCCUCUCUCCUCUCCUUCUUUGAACCACAAACACACCUGAAGAGCUGAGCCUUGAAGAAGGAAGGGGAGAUGAUACCUCAGAACCUGAUCACAUUCCUUCCCCAUCUUCAUUCCUGGAGGUCAGGAUCUCAGCUCAAGAAUGCUCUGCAUGAGGGUAGGGGAAAGGGGAAGAGACUGAAAUAGAGAUUGGGACUUGUCUUAAAGUAGACUUUAAAAAAAAAAAAUUAUAGUUGAUUUACAACAUUGUGUCAAUUUCUGCUGUACAGCAAAGUUACACAGUCAUAUAUGCAUGUAUGUGUGUGUGUGUGUGUAUUCUUUUUCUCAUAUCAUCCCCCAUUAUGUUCUAUCCCAAGAGAUUGUACACAGUUCCCUGUGGAAUACAGCAGGACCUCAUUGCUUAUCCAUUCUAAAUGUAUCCAUCCCACUCUCUCCUCCCUCCCACUUUGGCAACCACAAGUCUGUUCUCCAUGUGUGUGAGUCUGUUUCUGUUUUGUAGAUACGUUCAUUUGUGCUGCAUUUCAGAUUCCACAUAUAAGUGAUAUCAUACGGUAUUUAUCUUUCUCUUUCAGACUUACUUCACUUUGUAUGAAAAUCUCUAGUUGCACCGAUGUUGCUGCAAAUGGCAUUAUUUCAUUCUUUUUUUAUGGAUGAGUAGUCGUGGAAUCUUCCUGUGUCUGUCCUGGGCCAAUCUGCCCUCAAGAUGUCUUUCUCGUUCUAUCCCAACCCCGCCCUGUGUUGAGGGAAGGGUCUGAUCCCUGCAGGCCAUGCUCCCCAAGCUGCUGGCUCAGAUGACUUCUGGCUACUUUUGGUAGGUGAGGGAUUGGAAGGUAGGAGGAAGGAACAAAUCAAGGCAUUUUUCUUCCACCCUGUCUGCCUCUAGUGCAGUUUCUGGCUAUGGGCUCUUCUUCCUUUAUGACUCCAGGCCCAGUAUGAUCCAACUUUUGCUGUUUGAUGCUCGUCUCUGGGCUCUGGUAGUACAUCUUCUCCAUUUGCCCCUCUUUUGAUAGUGUCUGGAUAGGCUUACUAUGUCCCUUUCAGUUUCUAGGCUUUUCCAUCACGUGUGUAACUGUCUGCAACAGAUCCUCUAUGUUUCAAAUACUGAAAGUACUCUUUUGGUUGGAUCUUAACUCACAUAUUUCCCCAGAGGAAAGCAUCUGUACAAUACAGGACUGUGCUCCCAAUAUGAUCAGGGGUAGCAUCUUUAAGAAGUCAGUAUUUCUGGAGUUCUGUCAUGGCUCAGCAGUUAAGCAACCCAGCUAGUAUACAUGAGGAUGUGGGUUCAAACCCUGGCCUUUUUCAGUGGGUUAAGGAUCCUGUGUUGCUAUGGCUAUGACAUAGGCCAGCAGCUACAGCUCCCAUUCAACCCCUAGCCUGGGAACCUCCAUAUGCCGCAGG
rnacentral:lncRNA from 1 species